rnacentral:rRNA from 1 species
UACGAAGGGGGCUAGCGUUGCUCGGAAUCACUGGGCGUAAAGGGUGCGUAGGCGGGUCUUUAAGUCAGGGGUGAAAUCCUGGAGCUCAACUCCAGAACUGCCUUUGAUACUGAGGAUCUUCGAGUUCGGGAGAGGUGAGUGGAACUGCGAGUGUAGAGGUGAAAUUCGUAGAUAUUCGCAAGAACACCAGUGGCGAAGGCGGCUCACUGGCCCGAUACUGACGCUGAGGCACGAAAGCGUGGGAGCAACAGG